ACGCUAACCGCAAGGGGAAGGUCACGCCGGUACCACGGUAGGUUCAGCGACUGGGGUG
rnacentral:rRNA from 1 species